UCCCUGGGCAUCCAGUGGCUAGGACUCUGCACUUUCAAUGCAGAGGACACAGUUUCGAUCCCUGGUCAGGGAA
rnacentral:tRNA from 1 species